CCUACGGGAGGCAGCAGUGAGGAAUAUUGGUCAAUGGCCGCAAGGCUGAACCAGCCAAGUCGCGUGAGGGAUGACGGUCCUAUGGAUUGUAAACCUCUUUUGUCAGGGAGCAAAGGGCGCCACGUGUGGCGUUUUGCGAGUACCUGAAGAAAAAGCAUCGGCUAACUCCGUGCCAGCAGCCGCGGUAAUACGGAGGAUGCGGGCGUUAUCCGGUUUUAUUGGGUUUAAAGGGUGCGCAGGCGGAAUGUCAAGUCAGCGGUAAAAUUUCGGGGCUAAACCCGGUCGUGCCGGUAAAACUGGCGUGCGUGAGUGAGCGGUAAGUAUGCGGAAUGCGUGGUGUAGCGGUGAAAUGCAUAGAUAUCACGCAGAACUCCGAUUGCGAAGGCAGCAUACCGGCGCUCAACUGACGCUGAUGCACGAAGGCGUGGGUAUCGAACAGGAUUAGAUACCCGGGUAGUC
rnacentral:rRNA from 1 species